GGCCAUAUGGCUUAGUGGUUAUAGCGUGGGAUCGUUGUGCCUUUUCAUAAACAGUCUUCUUCCCGUCGCGUGGGUUCGAAUCCCACUACGGCCU